CACGUAGGCGGUCUCGUAAGUCAGCUGUGAAAUCCCCCGGCUCAACCGGGGAACUGCAACUGAUACUGCGGGACUAGAGUGCGCGAGGGGAGAGCGGAAUUCCUGGUGGAGCGGUGAUAUGCGUAGAUAUCAGGAGGAACGCCGGAGGCGAAAGCGGCUCUCUGGCGCGCAACUGACGCUGAGGUGCGAAAGCUAGGGGAGCGAACA
rnacentral:rRNA from 1 species